rnacentral:sRNA from 1 species
CUGGGGCUGCUUGCUGACCGCUUUUGCAGCCUCUGUCCUGGAUGACUUUUACCUUUCUGCUGAAUAAGUUGCAGUGGAGAUUUCAAGAUCCCUUCAAAUUGCACAAUUCUGUUUUUAGGUCCAUCCAGAACCACCCACUGCAUGCAGAGAAAAACAGUACCUAAUAAACAGUCAGUGCUGUUCUUUGUGCCAGCCAGGACAGAAACUGGUGAGUGACUGCACAGAGUUCACCGAAACAGAAUGCCUUCCUUGCGGUGAAAGCGAAUUCCUAGACACCUGGAACAGAGAGACACGCUGCCACCAGCACAAAUACUGCGACCCCAACCUAGGGCUUCGGGUCCAGCAGAAGGGCACCUCAGAAACAGACACCAUCUGCACCUGUGAAGAAGGCCGGCACUGUACGAGUGAGGCCUGUGAGAGCUGUGUUCUGCACCGCUCAUGCUCACCCGGCUUUGGGGUCAAGCGUAUUGCUGUGAGACCAAAGACCUGGUUGUGCAACAGGCAGGCACAAACAAGACUGAUGUUGUCUGUGGUCCCCAGGAUCGGCUGAGAGCCCUGGUGGUGAUCCCCAUCAUCUUCGGGAUCCUGUUUGCCAUCCUCUUGGUGCUGGUCUUUAUCAAAAAGGUGGCCAAGAAGCCAACCAAUAAGGCCCCCCACCCCAAGCAGGAACCCCAGGAGAUCAAUUUUCCCGACGACCUUCCUGGCUCCAACACUGGCGCUCCAGUGCAGGAGACUUUACAUGGAUGCCAACCGGUCACCCAGGAGGAUGGC